AUCUCAUCUGUGAAAUGGAAGGAAGAACCCCAGUUUCACAGAGCUGCUGGCAUGAGAAUUAAUAAGUUGAAGGCAGGAGGGAGACCGACCUGCCACAGAAACCUGCAAGGGUGUACUGCCACAUCGUUCUGAAACCCAAGCUGCAAUUGUACAAAUGGCUCAAAAUCCCUUUUGACUAAAGGAUAAAGAUUGAAAGCAAAAGACGUAUUUUGACCAAGUGUGGAGGGAAACCAACUUUGAAUGAAACACGAAUAACAGAUAAGAUAGUGAAGAAAGUGCUUCACUGUGAUUCUCUUAAUAGUACUCAAUAAAAGUAUCUUUUAAGUUUUAGUAUUUCUUUCUGUCAUUCACACAUAGCUGUUUUAAUUUAGAGUCCAUUUUUAUAGGAAAAGCAUGAUAAAGUUGAAAAGUGGGUUGUAGGCGUGUCUAACAUAUUUUUGUGUGAGACAUAUUUUGUGUGUGGAUACAUAGCAGGUGUGUAUAUUUAUGGGUUACAUGAGAUGUUUUGAUACAGGCAUGCAAUGCAUAAUAAUCAUGUCAGGGCAAAUGAGGUGUCUCUUCACUUUGUUGAUUGUUUCCUUUGCUGUGCAGAAGCUUUUUAACUUGAUGUGAUCCCAUUUAUCCAUUUUUGCUUUGGUUGCCUGUGCUUGUGAGGUAUUACUCAAGAAAUCUUUGCCCACUUCAAUGUCCUAGAGAGUUUCCACAGAGUUUUUGCAUAGUGGUUUUGUAGUUUGAGGUCUUAGAUUUAAG
rnacentral:lncRNA from 1 species